rnacentral:rRNA from 1 species
AUUGAACGCUGGCGGCAGGCUUAACACAUGCAAGUCGAGCGGAGAUGAGGUGCUUGCACCUUAUCUUAGCGGCGGACGGGUGAGUAAUGCUUAGGAAUCUGCCUAUUAGUGGGGGACAACAUUCCGAAAGGAAUGCUAAUACCGCAUACGCCCUACGGGGGAAAGCAGGGGAUCUUCGGACCUUGCGCUAAUAGAUGAGCCUAAGUCGGAUUAGCUAGUUGGUGGGGUAAAGGCCUACCAAGGCGACGAUCUGUAGCGGGUCUGAGAGGAUGAUCCGCCACACUGGGACUGAGACACGGCCCAGACUCCUGCGGGAGGCAGCAGUGGGGAAUAUUGGACAAUGGGCGGAAGCCUGAUCCAGCUAUGCCGCGUGUGUGAAGAAGGCCUUUUGGUUGUAAAGCACUUUAAGCGAGGAGGAGGCUACCUGGAUUAAUACUCUAGGAUAGUGGACGUUACUCGCAGAAUAAGCACCGGCUAACUCUGUGCCAGCCGCCGCGGUAAGAC